ACGGGGCCAGGCUGCACUCGGCGGUGCCCUGCAGCGGGACCGGAGGCACUGGGCACAUGCUGCAGCGCAGCAGGUUUCCCCGCAGGGCUGCCACAGCCGCGCUGCUUCCCCGUUUUGGGUAACACUACUGGACAUGUAUGGCUGGGCUAACGAGACCCCACUGUGGCACGCAUGCUAGGAGGAGCGAUCCCCCUUGCGCCCGGCGUGUGGCGCAGCGCUGAAAGAAAGACGUCUCUGCUCUCCUAACCUGGCGUAGGUUCGAGAGUUUGAUUCCGCAGAGCAGUUGGGCACCCCAGAUGGGACACUCUCUGUUCGGCUGCAGGACCAGUUGAGGAGGGAGACGCCUUUGGCGCGCCCCGAGAAUUCUUGGAAGGACUCCCCCUGCUCAUCCGAUCACCGCGGGGACAGACGGGGACCAUCUGGAAGCGGACCAGAUGCACGAUUUCAGGCCAGCCUCUGUUUUCUGUAAGACUCCGUUAUUAAAGUGUAUUUGCAUGCAGUGGCUGUGAAGUUCAAGGUCCUGGCGACAGAUUGCAUUGAGGACCAGGUCAGAAGACCUGGAAAAUGGGGCCUUGUCAACUCCUUUGACUGCUUCUUUAAACGAGUCCUGGCAGAUGGCUGCUCAGAGCUGUAUUCUCUGCUUUAUUGAUGUGCACAUAAAAGACUGGUGCUGCAGCUGACUGCAGGUCCUGUUAUUCCAUCCCCACAAAAGAUAUUCUGAGAAUCUGUGUUUUUCUGUUCCUAUUAUUAGUGUUACUUCAUUAUUAGGAUGAUAGCUUAUUGAGGAACGUAGACUGCUCUGAAAGGAAUGCCUCCUAUUUAUUUCCACAGAAAUGACAACGGAUACAUAGGGCGAGUUCUCAACUACAAAGCUGUUUUUCAACAUGGUCACCACCAUUAACUAUCGUUUUGUUGGUUUUUGUUUUUUUCUUCCAGUGUUGAGUGAGAGCCUGCGUGCUGUGCUUGUUUAAAAAGAAAUCAUAAUAAUUAAAAUAGAUCCUUUUGCUGUCUGGGUGGCUCGUCUUGCAUUGCUGCGCCACUGCUGAAAUGCACCACCACUGCUUCACUGCACUCACCUCCACGUGUCGGGCUUCAUAAAUGUUCUGCAGGCAUUGAUGGAUGUCAGUGGUGCGAUUUUUUCAGUGUGGAGGAGUUCAGGGACACCCUGUGCUCCAUGAGCACUUCCGAGCUUGGUGCUGUGCUGUCAUUCUGGCCCUCUGCUGCCGUCUGUGGCACGGCUGCAAACUGUAACUGAGUGCUGGCAGGAAGGUUCAGCCUCUGCUGUCAUCCCACCAGCGUCCACCUGUGAUGUUGUGGGCCGGCUUUAUAGGACAGGAGGCAUUACUUUUGGAUCAGCCCUUGUGUAGUUAUGAAAAAUUAAGGUUUAUAAAGGCUGGCUGAGUAAAUUGGUGGCUGCUAAUGAGAUCCACAACUACAGGAAAACAGUAGUUAGACACUGACAGCUUUCAAGGUCAGUUUAGAUUACCUGGCUGUGUUGGGUUAUUUUUUAUUUAAUGUUGUGUUUCAUUGCAGUAUUUUCUGAAAAAUCCUCAAGUGUGGCAUUCCGAAUCUGCCAACUCUGGUAUUCUUGAGCAACUCCAUCCUGUAAAGCAGAUACACGCUUUGAGAGUAGUGAUUGACGUGGUUCCAGCGUGACAGUGCAGGACAUGGCUGUCCUUUUCCAUCUUCAGGCCCACCUUACUGCCUUUUCAUCCUGUGCACUGAAUUGCAGUGGCAUGUCAGUAUCGAAUCCCUCAGCACUGUGCUGAGCCUCACCUUACUCAUACUCACCCACUGGACGUUACUCAGCUUUAGCAAUCAUGUUUCUGCUACAGAAGGGCUUGCCGGAUAUCUGUAGUAUUGAUCCGGCCCGAAGGUGACAACCUUCCAACCUGCUGGUCUCUGCCCAUGUUCUCUGUCACAACAUCGGAUGUGUGUGCUCGCUGGAUGCACUGGUAAGAAAUGUUUUUGAGAAGAGAACCUCGUGCUUCCCAGAGCAGUAAGACUGUGAGGAUUUGGGAGGCCCUUCACAAACCUGGUUAGAGUGUGCUUUCCGAAACGGCGUGCUGUUAAAGCAGCCUUUCUCAAAAGCAGAGCGUUGUGCCUGGUGUGACUUAAAUCCCACCCACAAAGGAGCAUUCCCUGCAGUCUCUGAUCUCAGGUGCGUGUUUCCCCCACUGCUGGAACUGCUGGACUUUCACGCCUUCACUGUGUGUGUUUGGGUCUCUUUAUUAGCUCUGUUUGUUCUACUAGCUGUAUGCAAACGUAUCAGGAGGUAAUGAAAAGAUCUUUGAAAAUAGCUUGGAGAUAUUAACCUGAGGCAAGAAGGUGAAUUUUACUGCCUUAAAUUAGGUUUCAGAGGAUGUCCUUGAACUCAGAAGCUUGGGCUUUGUUGUAGCCUGAUAUUUACUGCUUGAACUUUAACUCUAGGACUGGAGGGGGAGCUUUUCUUCACACCUUCCUGUGUAUGAAAUCUACACUUGAACUGCACUCGAGACGGGCAGAAAUGUAGCUGAGCAGAGCCUCCAGCAGCUCAGCCCUUUCCUUCAGACUAUGAAGAUGGCUUUAAUAUUCUAGGAUGAAUUUCCCAGCCUUUCUGUUUCAUCUGAUCCACAACCAAUGCCAGCAUUUGUUGCACCCCUUCUUUGGUUUCCCUGAGUCAGGACGUCAUCUACGUAAUGAACUGUUUGCAUGUGAGGAGGCAGUUUGGUGUCAUGCAGAUGUUCAGCCACAGUUCUGUGGCAGAUGGUUGGGCUGUGCAGCCGUCCCUGAGGCAAUCUACAGACAGGAUCUUGUCACCUCUGCCACGGGAAGGCGUUCCUCUGCAAUCAGGAUCGUGAAGAAGCUAGCAUUAGCUAAAUCAAUUACAGCAUGCCCUGUUCUGAAUGGUUCUGAGCUUUUUCUGUUAAAGCAACACUACCUGCUACAGCCGCUGUGUGAGGCGGGAUGAGCUUGUUUAAUUCCUCCCACAACCCACCGCUUUUUGACAGGCCAUGUUGGAUUGUUCCGAGCUGUAGUAGCUGACUUAAAACUCCUGCACCCAAUAAAUCAUUAAUUGUC